rnacentral:rRNA from 1 species
UACGUAGGGUGCAAGCGUUGUCCGGAAUUAUUGGGCGUAAAGAGCUUGUAGGCGGUUUGUCGCGUCUGCUGUGAAAUUUCGGGGCUCAACCCCGAACUUGCAGUGGGUACGGGCAGACUAGAGUGUGGUAGGGGAGACUGGAAUUCCUGGUGUAGCGGUGAAAUGCGCAGAUAUCAGGAAGAACACCCGUGGCGAAGGCGGCUCUCUGGGACGGUACUGACGCUGAGACGCGAAAGCGUGGGGAGCAAACAGG